UAGAUUUGGUUAUUUGUUUUACUGUGUCGAUUCCAGUUGAUAGUUUAAUUUGACAUUUCCUCGGACAGCUGUUGGAGGUGACUUGGUUUGGUUUUUCCUGCUGUUAGUGACAGAGUAACACCUAGGACAGAAGGGACAGCUUAGCGGUUGUUUAGAGUAUUCCAGGUUGCAUGAUGGCUGCGCUUACGACUCAGGAACUGCUUGGCAGGGCCAGAGAGGAGGAAGCAGGUAGCUGUGAACAUGGCCGUAAAACACCAAGUGAAUACCAGGAGGCCGCAGAGGAGCUGUAUAUUACUUCAGGACUCCUGUCUAUCAAAAUACACGUGCAGAGGACCCAUCCAAACAACGACAAAGAAGGAGAGGUUGCUGAUGGAGGACGUCAUCACAAUAGACAUUGUAUCCUGGUGAAGAAGGCUCCAGACCGCUAUGCAGACUACAUUCUCCCGAGAGCUGCGGAGACAAGGAGGCAAGAAGAACUGGGGACGAUGACGCAUCGACUCCUGAAGAUCCAACUGGCAGCAGCAGAUGCAGAAGCAACGAAAAAACAGAGAGUCAGGAAACAACUGUCGGUG
ensembl:lncRNA